rnacentral:snoRNA from 1 species
AAAACAUGGUGUGGACACUGAUUGGUGUAGCUUCUAAACCUCUCCCAAGCUUCCCCAAAUAUUUCAUUGUUAUGUUUCUUGAAGCUUGAAAUCUGGUUUCUCAGCUU